CACGUAGGGGGCGAGCGUUGUCCGGAUUUAUUGGGCGUAAAGAGCUCGUAGGCGGCUCGGUAAGUGAGGUGUGAAAACUCCAGGCUCAACCUGGAGACGCCACCUCAUACUGCCGUGGCUAGAGUCCGGUAGGGGAGCAUGGAAUUCCUGGUGUAGCGGUGAAAUGCGCAGAUAUCAGGAGGAACACCAGUGGCGAAGGCGGUGCUCUGGGCCGGAACUGACGCUGAGGCGCGAAAGCUAGGGUAGCAAACGGG
rnacentral:rRNA from 1 species